rnacentral:lncRNA from 1 species
CUUGUUUUCGGCUGGGUUUUGGGGAAUUUUUGGACCAGUCUAGGUUCAUCAAAAGUUAAAAUCAAAAUAAUCUUUUUUUUAGGUUGUAGUCAUGUAAUAGCUCUUUAUUAUUUAUAUUUCUUUAAGUAUUUUCAUUAAUAGUAAUACAGACAUGAAUUUUAGGUUGUAAUACUCUUUAUUAUUUAUACAUAAACAAUUUUUGAUAUAAUGAACUUGUUGGAAUUUUCAGGUGCAUAAAUGUAUCUUUAUUUGGGCAAAAUGGGAGGCACUCAGGCUGCCAAAUGGGAUCUGGGCUGGCAUAAUAUAUUGGAGUGGAUUUCAGCUUAUGAACUACAGUCCAACAGAAGCAAUGUGACAAACUGCUAUGAACCUUUUUGACUUGCAAGACUACACGUAUGUUAAGCUGGAUUGCCUUGAUGAGUUGGAGAUUACAAAAUUCGGUAACAUGAAACCUGGAAUGGGUUUUUUGAAGCUUAUAUUGGCAAAGUCAUGUAUGCUAAAGAAAUUGCAGUGAUAUGAAGAAGUUGACUGGUAAGGCAUCUUGCAGAAUUUGCCACCAGAACUUCAGCGCUACUGUCACAGGUUAGGCGUUUCGCCAUAUUGUGCCUCUUCGACUCCAACUGGUGCCUACACAAAGAAGAAUACGAAUUCAGAAAGUAUGUGUCCAGCAGGCUGGUCUUUGGGCAUAACUGAUGGCUUUAGUGGUGAGUGAUCCAUGCUGUGAUUAUUUCAGACAAAAAAAUGAGUGAACUAUGAAGACUGCUUCUCAAGUUCUCUUUAUAUAGAACACAACUGCAGCAGUUAUGUAGGAACAUGGACAGAAAAACUGCUCAAACGUGGGAUGGUGCUGCUCAGAACUGCUGU